ensembl:lincRNA
GAUACAGUGAUGAUGAAAUCCUGGAUGCAUUACAGAUUUUUAGGAAGUAUCACCUGAGAGGUCAUUUUCAUGGAAACCCUCGAGAAAAUACAUCAAGGAUUGGACCACCAAAUGAGCAGCUGAAAGUGAGGAUGCUGAAUCUGCCCAACAACGUCCCCACUUCUGUGGCACCCUCAGUUUUUUGUCAUUGUCUAUCUCAUCAAUAAAAGAAUAUUUUAAAUUAAUGGUGCGUGUUAUAAUUAAUUGUAUGAUGUAACAAAAAAUUUUAGAGAGGUCAGUUCUAGAAAAAGAAAUGUAAAAAACAUCUUGGAUAUUACUCUAUCUUUGUUUUCUCUUCACAUGUUAAAAAAUAAAAAAAAGAAAUCACAGAUAGCAGAUUUGAAGGUAUUGCUGUAAAAGUAUAAUUCGAGUUUCUCUCAAAUUAAAUAAAAAAUGUGUUGACCUGAGGAGAACAGAAAUCAAUAGCUCAGAAGAAGAGCGUGAUACUCACACUUCCGCUCUCCAAUAUCAUUCCUUUAACUCGUUUUUCUCCUUCUCCAAAAUUCUAGGCUGCUCACACAUCCCAGACUGUUCCUACAGGGAUGGGUGUGUGCUGUCCUGGUGUGCUAACACAUGGUUUGGAGGAGAAGGAAGAUAUGGCGUAGAACUGGAGGCUGAAGUCAGAAACCUGCAUGUUAAUGUGAAAUUAUUCACUUUUUACACAUGGGCUGAUGCUGAAGGUCUGAUGCUGAAGCUGAAUCUGCAGUCAUUGGAAAAGACCCUGAUGCUGGGCAAGAUUGAAGCCAAAAGGAGAAGGCAGCAGCAGAGAAUGAGAUGGUUGGAUGACAUCACUGACUCAAUGGACAUGAAUUUGGGCAAAAUCCAGGGGAUGGAGAAGGUCAGGGAAGCUGGGCAUGCUGCAGCCCAUAGGGUCACAAAGUCAGACACGACUUAGCAACUGAACAACAGCAAAACAUGGGCACCUAAUUUGAAAAACAAAAUACUUUAGAAGCCAAACAAAACAUGUCUGCUAAAUGCAGUCUGCAACUCUGGCUAAACUAGUGGCCAACUUGAGCAACACCAGAUAAAAAGAUGUACAGGUAUAUCACAGAGGAGUGUUAAGAAGAGCUGCUUAUCAGACAUUCUGGCUAUACCGCUACUGGGUGAUUACAAUCCAUCUAAAAUAUUGAAUGUUUAUGUUAAUGGUGAAUAAAUACAGUCUAUGAUUUUAUCAUCUCUAGUGUUUUACAUUGAUGGUAAUUGAUAAUUACUUCCCACUGCCGUUUCUGAAACACUCCGGGGUAGGAGCUGAGCUUUGAUGUGCUCUUUUGAAUACAUGUGUGCUGUACGGGAAACAUCUGAGUCAGGACCCUGCUAGGCCACGACUCGUUUCAUAUGUGUGUUUCAUGUUCAUGACUUUUUGUGGUUCAAAAUCACGUCUUGCGUCUUUUGUCUCAAUCAUUCAGGGUAAGGACAAAAUGAAAAUGAAAAAGUCUUAUGAAAUGAAAAAUGAUGAAAGUCUUAGACAAGAGUUCCCUUGAGAAGGAACCGCCACCGCAAGCAGUUUGUUCUCCUCUCACACUGAUGUUGCAUCUUUAAUCUCUCCUUUUCGGAGAGACAAUGAAUGAUCAACGUCACCAGUCACCGCGGGCCUUCGCGCUCCGUGAUUUAGACUCUCACUAGCUGAGAGCAGGGCAGAAGGAGGAUUUGACAACUUUGAACUUUCUAUGUGCUUUUUGCCUUCGCCACAGUUGUUAUUAGAGUUCUAAAAAGGCAACAG